UACGUAGGGCGCAAGCGUUGUCCGGAAUUAUUGGGCGUAAAGAGCUCGUAGGCGGUCUGUUGCGUCUGCUGUGAAAACCCGGGGCUUAACCCCUGGCUUGCAGUGGAUACGGACAGACUAGAGGUAGGUAGGGGAGAAUGGAAUUCCCGGUGUAGCGGUGAAAUGCGCAGAUAUCGGGAGGAACACCGGUGGCGAAGGCGGUUCUCUGGGCCUUACCUGACGCUGAGGAGCCGAAAGCGUGGGGAGCGAACGGG
rnacentral:rRNA from 1 species